rnacentral:tRNA from 1 species
GGCAUAGCUCAGCUGGUAGAGCAGCUGAUUUGUAAUCAGCAGGUCGGGGGUUCAAGUCCCUCUGCC